rnacentral:ncRNA from 2 species
GAAGUGCAUGGUGGUGAUUUGGCCGGUCUGAUUGCAGCCACCUAAAACAAGUCGCUAAAGGGACCUUCGAGCCGGCCGC